rnacentral:rRNA from 1 species
CUUUCUGUGCCGAAGCUAACGCAUUAAGUGCCCCGCCUGGGGAGUACGGUCGCAAGGCUAAAACUCAAAGGAAUUAACGGGGGCCCGCACAAGGGGUGGAGCAUGUGGUUUAAUUCGACGCUACGCGAAAAACCUUACCUGGGCUUGACAUGCUGGGAUUAAUCCUGGGAAACCAGGGGGAUUGCCUUCGGGUGUAACCAGCACUGGUGCUGCAUGGCUGUCGUCAGCUCGUGUCGUGAGAUGUUGGGUUAAGUCCCGCAACGAGCGCAACCCUCGCUUUUAGUUGCCAUCAUUUAGUUGGGCACUCUAAAGGAACUGCCCCGGUUAACGGGGAGGAAGGUGGGGAUGACGUCAAGUCCUCAUGGCCUUUAUGCCCAGGGCUACACACGUGCUACAAUGGCCUGUACAAAGGGUAGCGAACUCGUGAGAGUAAGCUAAUCCCAAAAAGCAGGUCUCAGUUCGGAUUGAAGUCUGCAACUCGACUUCAUGAAGUUGGAAUCGCUAGUAAUCCCAUGUCAGCAUGAUGGGGUGAAUACGUUCCCGGGCCUUGUACACACCGCCCGUCACACCACGAAAGUCGGCUGCACCAGAAGUCGUUAUACUAACCUAGCU